rnacentral:lncRNA from 1 species
UAAUGCAUGAGGACGACCUAAGAUUUAACUGUCAAUCCUAAAUAGUCAUCCACAUUGUAUUUCAAUCUUUUUCAAAUCUAUUACAUGAAUUAUUCGGACUCAGAUUUUGUUAAAUUAAAAUAUAUUGAUAUAUUAACUCUUACUAAUUCAGAGAGAUCAAUCACAUCUUAACUCAUGCACCGACAUGAUAAGUACUUGACUGCACCCAGAAACCUUCCAUCACUGAAUUAGAAACUCAGUUAGUUCGGUACCAAAGUACAGUAAGUUAUUUGUAAGUCACUAUGGUGAUCUAAGAUCGGAGGAAUACUUAUACCCAUACCCUUCGCGAGCU